GUGGGCUGGGCUGCGGAAUCUGGCUCUGUGAUUGUCUUAGACUCUUCUUUAAUGACAGUGAACUCCGCUCUUCUUAGGGCCAUCUCUAGAGGACUUUGAGGAGGAGGGGGAGGGGCUACAGCCGGAGGAGUGAGUCUUCUGACCAGUGGAGGUGAAUCCCGUUUGGACUCUCCAGAUGCAGAUUGUUGGCUGGACGCUGCAGACAUCACGCGAGGUUUAGGAGCUAGUGGUGGUUUGACUUUAGAUUCACUGGUUGGAUACUCUGGAGGUUUGGUUGGAGAUGGUGGAGUGGAAUCUUCACUGGGGUCAGAUCUGUAGCUCCUAAAUCGCCUGGUACGUGGUUGUGCUGUGGAUGUUCCAUAGCUCUCCUCCUCUUUGCUGUGGUCAGACAGAGCUGCAUCCCUCAUGUUUGUAUCACUUGAUCUUUGUCUAAACCUGGUACGAGAUUCUGGUGAGGAUGAAAUGGCUGAAGAUUCCUGAUGUUUUGGUGAUGACGUUGUAGUGCCUUCCUGUGGUUUUGCUGAGAACAUUUGAGAUGUUUUUUCAUCCUUGGUACUGUGGUCAGACAGAGAGGACAGCUGUGAUCUUGGUGCGGUGAGAGGUUUUGAUGAGGACAAAAUGGUGGAGGAUUCUGGAAGUUUUGGUACAGUAGAUUUGUGUGGUUUAGCUGUGGUCAUCCUUUCAGUCUCCUCUUCAGAGCUGUGGUCAGAAACAGAGGCCUUCUGAAAGUCUCUUCGUCUGGUUGGAGACACGGGUGAGGACUGUGCUUUGUCAGUCUCCUCCUCCCUGCUGUAGUGGUCAAAUGAAAGUGUGGGCUGGAGGUCUUUAUAGGAUGAGCGGACAGUGGAUUUGUUGUCUGUCUCAUCUCUGCUGUAGCGGUCAGAUGAAGGUGUGGUCUGCUCUCUGCUGUAGCGGUCAGCUGGAGUAGUGGUCCGGGCGUUUAUUAAGGGGGAUGCAGGUCUCGGUUUGGGGUCAGAAGGUUUCCUCUUCAGAGACGAGACUCUGACUGGAGAUUUUCUGUCAGAAACAUCCUCAUUCCUCAAAAUCUGCAGUCUCUUCUCUCUCUG
ensembl:lncRNA